UCAGACCAAAAUCCUUUCUUACCCAACUCUCUUUUCUCUUUCUUCCCCUUUCUAUAGUUUCUCAAUCUCUAAUUCAUAUCAGUCUCUCACUCGUUAUGUCUCGAUUUAUUCUUUUCGUUCUUAUUUAAAUUUUGAUUUUGUUUUUAAUUCUUAUUGGAAGCGACGACGGAGAAUACCUAAAACCCAGAAUGCAAACUCUUCUCCAAACAUCAUCAAUGAUUGAAGAUGUCGUCAAGAUCUGGGUGAUAUGAGGGACUUUAUCAUCAUAUCACCAGGUUGACAUUAUUGCUUUGACCAAGGGAAUAGUUCAUUGCUGCAACCAAAUCGAUAUGGAGGGAAGAAGAGAAUCACGAGACCUCACUGAUUGAACAUGUACUGUAUUUGGAGCCAAUUGAAGUAAACAUAUUUCGUGGAUUCACAUUACCUGAUGCUCCAAGGUUUGCACCGAUUUUUGGAGGACGAAAGAGGAAGUCAGGUUUGAAUACCAAGAAGUUACAAUGCCAUCUGCUCUUGCCCCAGAAACGUCCAGCUUCUGUCAAUGGAGGAGCUGCGGGAGAGUUUUUGAUCCUCAUCUUCCCAGGAACUAUCGGAACAUGGUGGCUACAAUGAAGUUCAUUCCUCGACCUGUAGAUAUUUUGAUGACCUCGCAUUACAUAGGUGGCUAAGAUUGUCGCGGAGUGUAUGAAUAAUUAUCUGCUCUUUGAUCACUUCUUGCAAGUUCUUAUUGUUCCAACGGAGAAAGUUCAUCCUAAACUAUAAGCAAUUCUUUUGAUUUGUUUAGUAAUGACUGUAAUACAAGAUGUUAUACUAGUUUUAAGGAUUUUACUUUGUGCGUCGGGAGUAGAGGAUACCGACUUAUCUAGAUAUUGUAUGUAACAAACCAUUUCACCUCAGAUUUCUCCCUCAAUCUCCUGAAUUGAAGAACUUAAUCAUGACUAUGAGGCCUAGAUACUUACUGUGUUUUCAGAUAUUCGUAGUUGAUACUGUUAUUUGCGCUCAUGAUAAAUGUGUGAAUCUGUUCAUUUUCAUUUU